AUACUUACCUGGCAGGGGAGACACCACGAUCAUGAAGGUGGUUCUCUUAGGGCGAGGCUUGCCCACUGCACUCCGGAUGUGCUGCUCCCUGCGAUUUGCCCACAUGUGGGAAACUCGACUGUAUAAUUUGUGGUAGUGGGGACUGCAUUCGCGCUCUCCCCU